AGAGAGAGAGAGAGAGAGAGAGAGAGAGAGAGAGAGAGAGAGACUAUUUCGAAUAUAGUCACGCUCUGGCGUUCCACCGGGAAUGACUACUGCGGUAUUAUUGCGUAAACGCGCUGGCCUUAUCUAAUCCCGUGUCGGUCGCGUUGCGAAAUAAAAUUCGUCGACGGAGGACUCGGCGUUGUCGCGCGUGUCACCGGUGUAAACUCGGCCAAAACGACAGGAUAAAAGCGCACGAUGAAAUCCUUUGUGAUCCUCCGCACGAGUGCGAUCCGCCUCUUUUGCGGAAAUUAUCAAAAUGGUUUAAUAAACCGCUGCCGCGCAACACACAUACAUACACAUACAAAACCUCAUCGUUUACUCUUUGCUUAGAGAACGCUCGUGUAUAUUUCUCUCUGUGUUAUAUCAAAAUGUAUAUAUGCAAAGGAUUGAAAUGCGCGGAGGAGAAGAAGGAAGUUGAAUAAGAUGAGGCGGAACGAUAUAAAAAGAAAACAAGAAAAAGCGUAGCUUCGCGUGACAAGAAUGGGUGCUAUUCGAUAAAUAAAAAAGAGCGAACGCGAGACGCAGGACAAGAGGAGGAGAGCCACGACAAAGACGUGUAGAUAGUCUGUUUAAGUAGAGAAAAGGCGUUUUGUACGGUGCACACAUGCGAGAGAGAACGAGAUAGACACGUGCGCAUACGGCGAGAGAGACGGCGAUAACGAUUAGCGUUUCUUCGGGGCAAAAUCCGACGCUCGGCCGCUCGACGAAGAGGAUUCCUCGAUGACAUGGGUCCAUAUUAGUAGUCGUUACAUGAAACUUGCCUCAGGUGAGAUAUCCAGAGAGAAACUUGAAGUUAGUAUUAAUAAUUGAUACUUGAAACUUCUCCCAAAUCAGAUACUCAGAUUUGAGUUCAGAGUUAGAUGAGAAUUUGUCAGUUGAAUCGCGAUAUACAUAUACGGACAUAAUGUCACAUACAUUAUAUAAUUCAACUGAAAAACUGAAUCUAAUUCUGAAUAAAAAUCUGACUGUCUCACGUGAGACAAACUCAAGUAACGACUAUUAAUAUAGCUCUCAGAUUUGGAUGUGAGUUCUUCAGCUUCGCGCUGUUACAAAUGUAUAAUGCCGCAUAUAUUAUAUACAAUUCAAAUAAAAAAAACUCAAAUCUAACUCUAAGCUCAGAUCUGAAUAUCUCACAUAGAGCAAGUUUUAAACAACGACUAUUGAUAUGGACUUCGGUGAGUCGCGAGUUUAUCGACACGGCGUCGAUUUAGGACCGGUUUCACCAACUCCGGUUAUGGUCAAAGCUGACGUGGGUUUCAACUGAAAAUUCUAAUGGAUAAGAAUGACAAAGUACUCAUGUCCAUCAGUUGGAGCCCUGACACCGUCGGUCAGAUUUUGACCGUAAGCGGAGUUGGUGAAAUCAGCCCUUAGCGACGAACCAGAGAUGAUCGAGUGAACUCUUUCUUUCUCUGCUGCUCCGUCUACGAUCAGAGUUCUAUCACUUAUUUGGCGCGGCUCGCUGCAUCUCCGUCAAUCGUCACCGGAGAUGAUACGCUGUAGAUAUUCUGCUCCUUUGGAUUCUGCAUCCUUCCUCUCGAGGCGUCGAUGCAAUGAUGAUGACGACGAUGCUGAACUUCCAACCAUUAUAACAUGGUAAAUGGACGACACUGCGCGGCACUUUCCAAUAACACUUUUUGCGAGAUUUCACUCCCGAUGGAUUUACCGAUUUCUUCUUACGGCGAACGCGUGAGACUUACAGUCGAGUUCAUCUCAUCGAUGGGCCGAAAACGUGAAAAACAACGUUUCGAACUACGAGCUUUACGUGCGACGCGCACCACCUUUUUCAUAAACUUCGUUCUAUUGAUACUUCUCGCUGAUUUUAACAGAAUUCCAAUCUCUACGAUCAAAUUUAAGAAAAGUUCCGGCGCACCGCUACCUAUUUUUAAAUUAUUUUUUAAUCUUCGAAGUUAAUGCGACACUUGGAAAAAGUGUGGUGUUGACCAUUUCUCGCAGUUCUGUCGACAAUUCUCGAUAGUUCUAACAGAGAUCUGAGUAACACUUCCGUAAUAAAAGCAUAACUGAGCUAACCUCGGCAUUUCUAGCGACGAUAAUCCGUGCGUGAAGUUCGCUCUUAACGAGCCGAGAUUGCAAAUGAGCGAUCCAAACUGCCGCUACAUUAUUAUAGCGAAAUCGAAAUCUUCGAAAAACCGACUUAAUUUUACUUAAUAUCUACGAUUACCCGAUAUGCGACGAUUCUUUUGACGAUUUUCUGGCAAUAUUUUGUAACAAAUGCAUGAAAUAAAUUUUCAAUACUUUGGACGAUAA